rnacentral:rRNA from 1 species
UACGGAAGGCAGCAGUGGGGAAUAUUGCACAAUGGGCGCAAGCCUGAUGCAGCCAUGCCGCGUGUAUGAAGAAGGCCUUCGGGUUGUAAAGUACUUUCAGUCGUGAGGAAGGUGUUAAGGUUAAUAACCUUAGCAAUUGACGUUAGCGACAGAAGAAGCACCGGCUAACUCCGUGCCAGCAGCCGCGGUAAUACGGAGGGUGCGAGCGUUAAUCGGAAUUACUGGGCGUAAAGGGCACGCAGGCGGUUAAUUAAGUUGGAUGUGAAAUCCCCGGGCUUAACCUGGGAAUGGCAUUCAAGACUGGUUAGCUAGAGUCUUGUAGAGGGGGUAGAAUUCCAUGUGUAGCGGUGAAAUGCGUAGAGAUGUGGAGGAAUACCGGUGGCGAAGGCGGCCCCUGGACAAAAGACUGACGCUCAUGUGCGAAAAGCGUGGGGAGCAAACAGGGAUUAGAUACC